UGGGAGUUGUAGUUUAGCUUCCUCAGGACUCGAACUGUAUUUCCGCCCUUCCUCUCUCCUCCUACCAGUUUUACAACAGCCUUUAUUUUUAAACGCUGUGUCUCCCAAGCGGAAGUUUUCAAGAAUUUUAUUGGAUUUUCUUCACGUACAAAGCCCUGUAUCUGUGGAGCUGCUGUGAGAGGAAGGGCUAAAUGGAGGGCCCUGAAAAUGCCCCACCACCAUUCUAGUGAGUGGUGUUUUUGUGGUAGGUGAUGACAUUGAAUGGACAGUUACAGCAACUAUCACCUGAGAAGAGCAAAGCAAACCUAGAGAAAGAAGGUCUGGGUCACUACAGCAGUGUAUCUAUGGAAAAUCCAGAAGGUUUGACCUUCCAGAGUCAACAGUGUGGAUUUUGCUGACUCCCUACUUAUGAAAGAAAUCUUGUCAUUUAUGGCAACAUGGACGAACUUGGGAGACAUUUAUGUUAAGUGAAAUAAAGCAGGCACGUGAAGCAAAUACUGCAUGAGCUCAUUUACACGUGGAAUCCAAAAGUGUUGAAUUCAUUGAAGCAAAGACUAGAAUGGCAGUUACUAGAGUCUGUGUGAUUUCCUGGGGAGUACAGCACCGAGGUAAUCACCACCGAGGAAAGCGAAAGCAAAAGACGGAGUCAUGGGUUUCAGCCAUAGUCUCGGUUUCACUGGAGCUGUGUCAAGCAGCGAGAUUGUGACCGUGGCCUGUGCCAGCAAGAGAGCCGGAAAGCAGAGGAAAACACUGAACUGCAUUGCUCUAAUAAAACUGUUUUG